AUUGAACGCUGGCGGCAGGCCUAACACAUGCAAGUCGAGCGGCAGCGGGAAAGUAGCUUGCUACUUUUGCCGGCGAGCGGCGGACGGGUGAGUAAUGCCUGGGGAUCUGCCCAGUCGAGGGGGAUAACUACUGGAAACGGUAGCUAAUACCGCAUACGCCCUACGGGGGAAAGCAGGGGACCUUCGGGCCUUGCGCGAUUGGAUGAACCCAGGUGGGAUUAGCUAGUUGGUGAGGUAAUGGCUCACCAAGGCGACGAUCCCUAGCUGGUCUGAGAGGAUGAUCAGCCAAACUGGAACGGAGACACGGCCCAGACGCCUACGGGGGGCAGAAGGGGGGAAUAUUGCACAAUGGGGGAAACCGUGAUGCAGCCAUGCCGGGUGGGAGAAGAAGGCCUUCGGGUUGUAAAGCACUUUCAGCGAGGAGGAAAGGUUGGUAGCUAAUAACUGCCAGCUGUGACGUUACUCGAAGAAAAAGCACCGGCUAACUCCGUGCCAGCCGCCGCGGUAA
rnacentral:rRNA from 1 species